UGGACGUCCCGCAGGAAGAAGGAACUAUUGACGUGAGUCAUUACUGAUUACUGAUGUGUUCACACUACUGACGUCAUUAAAAGACGCUCUGAGCCAGUGGGAGCACCAGAUGCCGGCAGAAAUGGCGGCAAUAUCAUCACAACAAGACAGUGGCCUUUCAGAGGGUAAAAGUGCUGCCAAAUCACAUAAACAAG